rnacentral:rRNA from 1 species
UACGGAGGGAGCUAGCGUUGUUCGGAAUUACUGGGCGUAAAGCGUGCGUAGGCGGCUUUGUAAGUUAGAGGUGAAAGCCCGGGGCUCAACUCCGGAACUGCCUUUAAGACUGCAUCGCUUGAAUCCGGGAGAGGUGAGUGGAAUUCCGAGUGUAGAGGUGAAAUUCGUAGAUAUUCGGAAGAACACCAGUGGCGAAGGCGGCUCACUGGACCGGUAUUGACGCUGAGGUGCGAAAGCGUGGGGAGCAAACAGG